CAGAGGCGGUUGAAGCGGUCGGGGGAGGGGGCCGCGGCGAGGAGGGGCAGGUCGGGGGAGUCGGACUGGAAGUCGAGGCUGAAGAUCUCGAUGUUGGCCGACGCGGAGAAUUGCAUGUCGACGGCGCCGCUCAUGGUGCCGGCGGCGAGGUAGGGCGCCUCCGGCGCGAGCGCCGUCAGCGCCGCGCGCUGCGCGCUCUUGAUGCACGCCAUCUCCGGCGACCGCCGCACCAGAUCUGGGUGCCUACGCACGCGCCCGCGCCGCGCUCUCGCCGCAGGACAAGGGGGGUGGGGGGGCGUUGCUCUAAGGAAAAAGGUUCCGCGAUCUGGACUGGAUGGAGGCGAGG
rnacentral:rRNA from 1 species